GGGAAAGGGGGAGUUCGCGGCCCGUGGCGGCGGUGGCUACAGCGUCGACCUGGGGAUCGAGCUGGAGGGACCUCGGGAGCGAGCGGAGAUCUCUAGCUGGAGCGCGAGGGACCUCCCGCCGGGAUGCCUGGGGAGCAGAUGGACCCCACUGGAAGUCAGUUGGAGUCAGAUUUCUCUCAGCAAGACACUCCUUGCCUGAUCAUUGAAGAUUCUCAGCCUGAAAGCCAGGUUCUAGACGAUGAUUCUGGUUCUCGCUUCAGUAUGCUAUCUCGACACCUUCCUAAUCUACAGACGCACAAAGAGAACCCUGUGUUGGAUGUUGUGUCCAAUAGUGAACAAACAGCUGGAGAAGAACAAGGAGACAGUAAUAGUGGCUUCAAUGAACAACUGAAAGAAAACAAAGCUGCAGAGUCUGUGGAUUCUUCUCAUUUGGACACAUGUGGUUCCAUCAGUCAGGUCAUUGAACAGUUACCUCAGCCAAAUAGGACAAGCAGUGUUUUGGGAAUGUCAGUGGAAUCUGCUCCUCCUGUGGGUGAAGAGAAGGAAGAAGAGGUGGAAGAGAAGGAGAAAAAGGAAAAAGAAGGAGAUAUUUCAGACGAUACCACACACUCCCUUGGUGCUGAAGAUCCUGCCUCAUCACAGCUGGGCUUUGGGGUUCUAGAACUUUCCCAGAGCCAGGAUGUUGAGGAACAAACUCUGCCACGUGAAGCAGACAAUCUACAGUCAGUAACCACCAACUCUGCUUAUACUAGGCUAUCUGAUGUGGAUGCUAAUAUUGCAAUUAAGCAUGAAGAACAGUCUAAUGAAGGUAUCCCCAUGGCAGCACAGCCCAGUAAGGAUAUCCCUGUGGCACCACAGCCCAGUAAGGAUGUAUCUGUGGUAGAAGAGCAAAACUCACCACCUGCAAGGUCAGAGGACAUGCCUGCUAGUCCCAAAGGCUCUCUUGCUGCUGUGGAAACAAAAGAACAAAUAUCUGUUCAGGAACUUCUGGAAGGUGGGAUGCAGAUUCAGAAGUCACCAGAGCCUGAGGUUUUGUCAACUCAGGAAGACUUGUUUGACCAGAGCAAUAAAACAGUAGCUUCUGAUGGUUGCUGUACUCCUUCAAGGGAAGAAGGUGGGUGUUCUCUGGCUUCCACACCUGCCACCACUUUGCACCUCCUGCAGCUCUCUGGUCAGAGGUCUCUUGUUCAGGAGAGUCUUUCCACGAAUUCCUCAGACCUUGUUGCUCCUUCCCCUGACGCCUUCCGAUCUACCCCCUUUAUCGUUCCUAGCAGUCCCACAGAGCAAGAAGGGAGAAAAGAUGAGCCAAUGGAUAUGUCAGUGUUAUCUGAAGGGGGAGAGUCUUUUCAGAAGAAACUCAAAGGUGAUGAACCGGUAGGGAUAGAAAACCCUCCUCUCCCACCUGAGCCCACUAUAUCACCACAAGCCUCAACACCGGUAUCUCAGAGCACACCAGUCUUCACUCCUGGGUCACUUCCUGUUCCAUCCCAGCCUGAGUUUUCUCAUGACAUUUUCAUUCCAUCUCCAAGUUUGGAAGAACGAUCAAAUGAUGAGAAGAAGGAUAGAGGUUUGCAUAGUUCAUCUUUGACUGUUGAGUAUUCUAAAACUUCAGAGACUGAACCAAAGAAUUCCUCUGAGGAUCUUGGGCUUUCUUUGACAGGGGAUUCUUGUAAGUUGAUGCUUUCUACAAGUGAGUAUAGUCAGUCCCCAAAGAUAGAAAGCUUGAGUUCUCACAGGAUUGAUGAAGAUGGAGAAAGCACACAGAUUGAGGAUACUGAACCCAUGUCUCCAGUUCUCAAUUCUAAACUUGUUCUUGCUGAAAAUGAUAGUAUCCUGAUUAAUCCAGCACAAGAUGGCCAAGUAGAACUGAAUCAGAAUGAUGAUAAAACAAAGAGGGUUAACACAGAAAGCAGAGACGACAUUAGUAUUUUAGCUGAUGGUUGCAAAGGCAGAGAAGAAACUGUGGCAGAAGACGUUUGUAUUGAUCUCACUUGCGAUUCAGGUAGUCAGGCAGUUCCCUCUCCAGCUACUCGAUCUGAGGCACUCUCUAGUGUGUUAGAUCAGGAGGAAGCUAUAGAACUUAAAGAACAUCAUCCAGAGGAGGGGUCUUCAGGGUCUGAGGUGGAAGAAAUCCCUGAGACUCCUUGUGAAAGUCAAGGAGAGGAGCCCAAAGAAGAAAAUAUGGAGAGUGUUGCAUUGCACCUUUCUCUGACUGAAACUCAGUCCCAGGGGCUGGGUCUUCCAAAGGAAGUCCCCAAACAAGAAUGCCAGGAAGCUAUGGAAGUUGAAACCAGUGUGAUUAGUAUUGAUUCCCCUCAAAAGCUUCCAGUACUUGACCAAGAAUUGGAACAUAAGGAUCAGGAAGCAUGGGAAGAAGCUACUUCAGAGGACUCGAGUGUUGUCAUUGUAGAUGUGAAGGAACCAUCUCCCAGAGUUGAUGUUUCUUCUGAACCUUUAGAGGUAGUGGAAAAAUGCUCAGAUUCUCAGUUGUGGGAGGAUGAUGCUCCAGAAAUAGAACCAUGUGUUGAGAAUAGAGCGGAUACCCAAGAAGAAAAGAGUGCAGAAUAUGAAGGAGAUCUGAAAUCAGUGACUGCAGAAAAAGAACCUGUAGAGGCAGACUCUUCACAGCCUCCCUUGACUUUAGUGAGAACAGAUGAUGCUCCAGGACCUGGCCAGGAAAUGCAGCAGACCCAACCAAAAGAGACAACAGUUAGCACAUUAAGGGAAGACUCAAAAAUGGCUAAUACAAAGCAGCUGGACUCAGGUGUAGGGGCCCAGCCACUGGAGAAAGCCUCUGCCCAUGCCUCACAAAGCUUCUGUGAAAGCUCUAGUGAAACUCCAUUUCAUUUUACUUUGCCUAAAGAAGGUGAUGUUAUUCCACCAUUGACUGGUGCAACUCCACCUCUUAUUGGGCAUCUAAAAUUGGAGCCCAAGAGACACAGUACUCCUAUUGGUAUUAGCAACUAUCCCGAAAGCACCAUAGCAACCAGUGAUGUCAUGUCUGAAAGCAUGGUGGAGACCAACGACCCCAUGCUUGGGAAUGAAAAAGGAGAUUCUGGGGCUGCCCCAGAAAUGGGUGAUCAAUUGUGUCUGAGAAUGAAAUUGGUCAGUCCUGAGACUGAGGCGAGUGAAGAGUCUUUGCAGUUUAGUCUGGAAAAGCCAGCAACUGGUGAAAGAAAAAAUGGAUCUACUGCUGUUGCUGAGGCUGUUACCAGUCCCCAGAAGACCAUGUCUGCGUUUAGCUGUGUCUGUGAAGCCCCGCAAGAGGAUGAGGCUCGAAGUCAGGAUUCCCCCUCUGUACCCAUCAGGGGGAACUUGCUGCAUUUUCCAAGUACUCAAGAUGAAGAGGAGAAGGGAAAAUUAGAAGGUGACCAAAGGACCAGCCAGAGUCAACAGCCUAUGAAGCCCAGUAGUCCUAUCAAAGACCCUGCUUCUCCUACCUCCCUGGAGAUGGCCACACAGGAGCCAUCCAGUCCUCAAGGGGAAGCAAUGGAGACAGAUAUGCCAGAAGGCCAGAAAGAAGGACAGAAUACCAGUCAGGAAAAAUCUAGUGAAGCCUUGAUUGAAAGGCCCAGCCAAAAUAACGUAGGAAUCCAGACCAUAGAGCAUUCCCUCUGGGUCCCCGAAACUGUUUCAGCAGCAACUCAGACUGUAAAGAAUGUGUGUGAACAAGGGACCAGUACAGUGGACCAGAACUCUGGAAAACAAGAUGCCACAGUUCAGACUGAGAGGGGGAGUGGUGAGAAACCAGUCAGUGCUCCUGGGGAUGAUACAGAGUCACUCCAUAGCCAGGGAGAGGAAGAGUUUGAUAUGCCUCAGCCCCCUCAUGGCCAUGUCUUGCAUCGCCACAUGAGAACAAUUCGUGAGGUUCGCACACUUGUCACUCGUGUCAUCACAGAUGUGUAUUAUGUGGACGGAACAGAGGUAGAAAGAAAAGUAACUGAGGAGACUGAAGAGCCAGUUGUAGAGUGUCAGGAGUGUGAAACUGAAGUUUCCCCUUCACAGACUGGGGGCUCUUCAGGUGACCUGGGGGAUAUCAGCUCCUUCUCCUCCAAGGCAUCCAGCUUACACCGCACGUCAAGUGGGACAAGUCUCUCAGCCAUGCACAGCAGUGGCAGCUCAGGGAGAGGAGCCGGACCACUCAAAGGGAAAACCAGUGGGACAGAACCCGCAGAUUUUGCCUUGCCCAGCUCCCGAGGAGGCCCAGGAAAACUGAGUCCUAGAAAAGGGGUCAGUCAGACAGGGACGCCAGUGUGUGAGGAGGAUGGUGAUGCGGGCCUUGGCAUCAGACAGGGAGGGAAGGCUCCCGUCACGCCUCGUGGGCGCGGGCGAAGGGGCCGCCCGCCUUCUCGGACCACUGGAACCAGGGAAACAGCUGUGCCUGGCCCCUUGGGCAUAGAGGACAUUUCACCCAGCAUGUCGCCAGAUGAUAAAUCCUUCACCCGUAUUGUGCCCCGCGUGCCAGACUCCACCAGACGAGCAGACAUGGGUGCUGGUGCUUUGCGUCGAAGCGACUCUCCAGAGAUUCCUUUCCAGACUGCUGCUGGCCCUUCUGAUGGCUUAGAUGCCUCCUCUCCAGGGAACAGCUUUGUAGGGCUCCGUGUUGUAGCCAAGUGGUCAUCCAAUGGCUAUUUUUACUCUGGAAAAAUCACACGAGAUGUUGGAGCUGGGAAGUAUAAAUUGCUCUUUGAUGAUGGGUAUGAGUGUGAUGUGUUGGGCAAAGACAUUCUGCUGUGUGACCCCAUCCCACUGGACACAGAAGUGACAGCCCUUUCGGAGGAUGAGUAUUUCAGUGCAGGAGUGGUGAAAGGGCAUAGGAAGGAGUCUGGAGAGCUGUACUACAGCAUUGAAAAAGAAGGCCAAAGGAAGUGGUAUAAGCGAAUGGCUGUCAUCUUGUCCUUGGAGCAAGGAAACAGACUGAGAGAGCAGUACGGCCUAGGCCCAUAUGAGGCAGUGACGCCCCUCACCAAGGCAGCAGAUAUCAGCUUAGACAAUUUGGUGGAAGGGAAACGGAAGCGGCGAAGUAACAUCAGCUCCCCUGCCACCCCCACUGCCUCCAGCAGCAGCAGUACAACCCCUACCCGGAAGAUCACAGAAAGCCCUCGUGCCUCCACCGGAGUUCCCUCAGGCAAAAGAAAACUUACCACUUCUGAGGAGGAACGGUCCCCUGCCAAGCGAGGCCGGAAAUCUGCCACUGUGAAACCUGGUGCAGUGGGGGCAGGAGAGUUUGUGAGCCCCUGUGAGAGUGGAGACAACAUGGGUGAACCCUCUGCCCUGGAAGAGCAGAGAGGGCCUCUGCCCCUCAACAAGACCUUGUUUCUGGGCUAUGCCUUUCUCCUCACCAUGGCCACAACAAGCGACAAGUUGGCUAGCCGCUCCAAAUUGCCAGAUGGUCCUACAGGAAGCAGUGAGGAAGAGGAGGGUAAGACCCUAAGAAGCCCUGAGGGCUCUAACAUGUGUACUUCCUUCCUUUCCAUUCACUUUAUGAACCAUCUGUAGAGGAGGAAGAGCAAGUGGCAACUGGAAUCACUGUCAGGGAAAAUUAAUUUAACCCUGCUUCUUGGUUUAUAGACUAUUCUCACAGAAUUCCUUUUAGUGAUCAGUUCCUCAAAACAAUCCUGUGAGGCAGACGGGAGAUAGAUGUUACAUUUUAUAGACGCGGAAACAAGCUUGGAGAGGUCAAAUAAUUGCUUUUUAUCCACGAUAAUGGUAGACUUGGGACUUAGAACCCAACGUUAACUUUACCUACUACAAUCAAAUCAUCCAUGUCAGUCAGGUUUCUGAAUGCCCUGCCAUCCUUCCCAUUUGUGUUCUAGGGGCUAGAGUGAAGUUUAUUCUCUUGAGGUCUGUGUGUAAGACUGGGAAUGUGAGGUACCCAGUGUCCCAGGGUGAUUUCAGAGAAAGAGCCUCUAGACCUUUUCAACUCUUGUGUUUCAACCUUAAACUAAACCUACACAUUUCUGUGUUGUCUGUUACUCAGGGUUUGAGUAGACUGCAAUGGGGAGAGGUAGAAAUUAUUUGACAUGUCUAAAGAGUGUGUGAUCUAGGAGAGAAAACUGGGCAGGUACAAAUAUACAUUGCAAUAUAAGUGACUGACAGCAGUGCAGUACCCAAAUGUGUCUGCAAAGACUAACAGUCCAAAUGGAAUGAUGUUCUACAAGUUAGAGUUCUGACUAAUGCUGAGUCUUGCAAGAGGGAAUCGAAUCAGGGAACAUCGUUAUCAGAAAAUAGCACCAACUGCAGAUCUGUGAUGGUUGGCGCUUCAGAAUUUUUAGAAAUUCCUCCUUUCAACAAGCAAUACACAGAAUCCCAGCUUCGAGCAGGAGCUGGCUAUAUUCUCGAAGACUUCAAUGAAGCCCAG